ensembl:processed_transcript
CAGCCCGACGUUUCAUCCAGGCGCAGUAACCGUCUUACCGACUCGGUGGCAGCCCCAAAUACAUACUCGAUCUGUCCAUUGACCCCUACAUCCAAAUCGGUGGCGCGCAACUGUAGGAUGGGGGUGCCCGGAGCGCUGUUCUCAGCCAGGUCAGCCUCAUACACGCUCUUCUCGAAGCGGGGGCUGUUGUCAUUCACGUCGGUGAUGAGCACCCGCAAGAUAGCCUGCGAAGACCGAGGUGGGUCGCCCCCAUCGCGCACUCGGAGGGUCAGCUCAUAGGAAUCUCUCUGCUCCCGGUCCAGCGCCCCCUUCACGAUCAGCUGCGGUUGUUUUUCGCCAUCUGGAGUGUCUGCCACCUGAAGCUCGAACACACUGCUUCGGCCACUAGGACUCGUCCCGCCGCCACUCUCAGGAGCGUCCAGCCGCCGCUUGGAGCCUCCAGAGCCGCCGCCGCUUGCGCUGUUCCCGCCGCCCCCUGGGUAGGGGGCGCUGUCCGCCGGCCCCAAGCGCCUUCCCUCGCUGCUGCCGCUGCCACCCCCGGGCUCCUGGAGCAGCUCGUAGCGCUCGAUGCCAUUGCGACCAAAGUCACGAUCGGUGGCCGUGGGCAGCAGGUAGAGCGUGCCUACAGGCCGGUUCUCCUCUACCGUGAGCGUGAGCACCGGCGAAGGGAAGGUGGGCGUGUUAUCAUUGAUGUCCAGCACGAUGACCCGACCCUCAAACAGGUCCACCCAGCUCUGUGAGGGCCCUAUCACCGACACCUCGAAGUCCAGGAAACAUUCGUUCUCGUCGAAGAUCAUCUGACAUUGGGGCAGCUUCUCUCGGUCGAUGCGCCGCUCGCUGGUGCUCAGCUCGCCGGUGAGGUUGUCAAUCUUCAGAUACUCAGAACCAGACUCAAGGCUGAAAGUCACCUCGCCGGAGCCGGUCACGAUGCCCAGGUCCGAGGCCACAUUGCCGAUCCGCACGUCGGCGGGGCCCUCCUCGGCCAGCCGGUACCGGAGCAGCUGCUUGGCGGCGGCCAGGCUGAAGCAGAGCGGCAGAAGGAGACAACAGCCCAAGCACCAGCCGCGCGCCCAUCCCGUGGUCCGCAUCCUCAGCAUCUUCUCUUGCUGCUGCUGCUACUGCUCCUUCUAACCACAACCCCCCUCGACACCCCCCUCCUCCGGGGCUGGCCGCCUGCCCUCCCCUCGGUCCUCCUCUCCGGGAAAGGAAGAAACGAGAGGGAGGGGAGGGAGGGGGCCAGAGUAGCGCGUAGAGUCGGCCGAUGGGAGGGGGGGCAGCUAGAGAUGCUUCUUUUUUUCUCCUCCUGCUUCUUCCGAAAGUUAUUGUUUCAUAAUUCAUGCAAUGGGUGCUAAUCGCCCGCUCGCCGGCCACCGUUUACUCGCAGUACUCACAGUUCACGGGACUCUGCGCGCCACGGGUUCGGUGUCCCCACAAAGUCAUCCCCGCAGCGGGAAGAUCCUGAGAUCCAGUCCCCAAGCCCUGGGAAGGGGCCGGAACCGCUUCUGCAAGAGUACGGCGGAGCCUGGUAGCGGACUGGAGCAAACCUGCAGCCUUCCCCGCCUGACAACAGCGCUAGUCCGUACUGCUACUCGAGUUAAGUCCAAUUCACGUUCCAGCUACUCUCUCUAGACCCAGGCUCUGUUUAGGCUCCGGAGGUCCAGACAAACGUAAACCGCUUCCUGCUUCAGGCUCUGGGGCGAGCAACAAGCCAGUCUUAACUCUGACUCCUCUUAAGCAGCCGGGAAGCCACUCAACAUAUCUUGAAUGAAAAAUUCCACGGCAGGUCGCUUCGGGCAAGGUGCAGCGAAAAGACGCCUCGCGUCACAGCUCGGUCCGCGACCGGGUACUCCCGGCGCGCCAAAGAGCAGCCCGAGCCAUCUUCAGAGACGCCCAGAGUCGGUCGCUUCUCACCCCGGAGAGCUCCGGUUUCUCUUUUUUUCUUAACAACUCUGCGCAAGGUCAUUAGUCACGAAGCCGCCGCCUGAAACCGCAGCAACCAUUCGCCCGCGGGGGCGAGAGCCGAACCGUGCGCACCGCGCGGUGCCCAAGUUUGGAUUCUCAGCCGCAGAGUCCGUGCCUUCCCUCACCUGCAUUCGGCCCGCGUGUUGGAGCUGUGGGAUCUGCAGCGCUGUGCGCGAUUCAGGGAGGAGAUUGCAGCCUCUCUCUCUCUCCCCGCUCUCUCUCGAUCCCUCCCCUCCCUCCCUCCUUCUCUUUCUCUCCUCCCUCCUCUUCUCUCUCCUCCCUCCUCUCCUUUCCCCUUUCCCCCCUCUCUCACUCUCUCCAGCACAGUCUCUCAGCUUCUUCCAGUCUCAAUGCGGGGAACUCGAGCUGAACUUGAUCCCUUUGCAGUUCAAAGGUGAGCAAGCCUGGCUCCGUGCAUCCGCGCGACACUGGCCCGGUGAAAGCUCACGACCGGGCACUCCUAACGGCAAUUAACAAAGAUGCCCAAUUCUGUCCGGAUUUCCAAAGAAAAGCCAAAGCCACUGAGGCGGGGGUGGAGGGGGAGGGGAGUCAAACAGAGCUGCCAAGUAGCUUUAAAAAAAAAAAAAAAAUCUAGUUUGCCAAAGGGAGAAAAAGUGCCAGUCGGCUGUUGUCUCGGAAGUGCCCUGGCGCGGCGGGUGAAUUCCGCAGUUGUCUCGUCCGCUUUCGCGUCUAGCAGAGUCUGGUGCGCGCGCUCCCGCCGCCUCUCCGGCUGUGGCUGUUCCGAGACACUGAAUCGCUACGGGGAAGCUCCUACUCUCGCAACCCCCUAGCCGGAAACCCGCAAGUUUGCAUAAAGUGGUGGUUGCUGCGGAAAGCCCGCGGGCUCCGGACUCAGACUUGUCUCCGACACUGCAGCGGCGGCGGCGGUAUCCGAAACUACACAGUUGCAGAGAACCAGGGAGGAGGGCCCAGGGAAGGGAGGCGGGGAGGAAGGACCAGCCAGCCGCGGCGCUCACCGAAGCCAGGCUUCGCUUCGUGGGGCCAACUGAGAACUGCCCAAUCUCAGCCCCGAUAAGCCAAAGUCUAGUCUUCUUAGGCAGUUUGGGUGGGGGUGGGGGUGAUCCCCCCCCCCCCCAGGGCUGGUAGAUUUCCUCCUUGACUAAACCCGGCUGCGUGGGUAAGAGCUGAAGUGAGGGUGUUAGUAUACCUUCCUCCCAAGUCUACCCUCAGACGAUAUCCCCCUCCCACCCCUAACUCCCACCCGCAACGUGUCUUCGUUUCGCAAUUUAGCAUCUGGGUUAGUGAAUUGCUACUGGUAGGUUGAGAACGACAUCUGAGUUCCGAAAGCCAAGCUUGUGUUCUGCAAAACCAUGAUGGGCUGCAGUAGUGAAGAGAGAACGUCAAACUCCAGCGAGAGCCAGAGAGGAUCCUUUUUUGGAGCCCAGACUUUGGAGGUCUGGGUUGGGGAGGGGAGAAUGCCUGCCUUUGUUUAAAUGCUUGGAAUUCCUGUCAUCCGGCUCUCACUGGGGAUAGACCGUGUGUGCACGCGCCUGGGGAAUAAAACACAUGCCAGAAGCCUGGGUAUUAUUUUCUAAGCAGAGCCUGCAGCUUUUAGUAACUGGCAAAGUGUAGCGUCACCUAUCUGGAUAUAAGGGAAAUAAACUUUAAUGGCAACUUUGUGUACCGAGUAUGCUUAACGUCUUUCCUCUCCUUUUGACUUUGUGCCUCCCGAUCCUCCCUGCCAUUCCCGGGCGUGAGGCUUCCCCGGUCCUCACUCAUGACCACCGCAGUCAGCCAAGUCAGAUCUCAGGGCUGGUGGUGGUUUUCGAACCGAAGCCCACUUCUCAUGCAUUUCACACUGUCGAAGGAAAAAGACCCUCUACCGAAAGAUUAAGAAAGACGAAGGUAGUAGGUGGUAUUUGGGUAGGGUUCUUACUAUCUCGGAGAAUGUUGCUAGGAAUUUAAGGGUCCCUUUAAAGACGAAUUUGCAUGGCCGAUCUAAUGCUCACCGAAUCAAUUUUACUCCUUGUGAGACCAGAGGAGGCAGAAUGAUUUAAAUAAGUCAAACACCAAUAAAGUCUAGGAGCAAAGGAAGCGCGCGGUUGUUUGGAGGAGCGCGACGAGGAGUGUGUUUGGGGGCGGGGGAGCGACAGUGGUUUCC